rnacentral:rRNA from 1 species
AGAGUUUGAUUCUGGCUCAGGACAAACGCUGGCGGCGUGCCUAACACAUGCAAGUCGAACGAGAAAGUCGGCUUCGGCUGAGUACAGUGGCGCACGGGUGAGUAACACGUGGGUAACCUACCUCUCGGAGGGGGACAACACACCGAAAGUCUAAUACCGCAUAACACGACAUUGUAGAUUAUGAUGUCGUCAAAGGUGGCGUAACGUGCCGCUGAGAGAUGGGCCCGCGGACAUUAGCUUGUUGGUAGGGUAAUGGCCUACCAAGGCGACGAUGGUUAGCUGGUCUGAGAGGAUGUCCAGCCACACUGGAACUGGAACACGGUCCAGACUCCUACGGGAGGCAGCAGUGAGGAAUUUUGCGCAAUGGGGGGAACCUGACGCAACAACGCCGCGUGAGUGAAGAAGGCCUUCGGGUUGUAAAGCUCUGUCAGAGCUGAAGAAACUACCUCGGGUAAAUAGCCCGUGGUACUGACGGUAAGCUCAGAGGAAGCACCGGCUAACUCCGUGCCAGCAGCCGCGUAAUACGGAGGGUGCAAGCGUUGUUCGGAUUUAUUGGGCGUAAAGAGCGUGUAGGCGGUUUUGCAAGUCAGGUGUGAAAUCCCGGGGCUUAACCCGAACUGCGCCUGAAACUGCAGGACUUGAGUACGGGAGAGGUAGGUGGAAUUCCUGGUGUAGAGGUGAAAUUCGUAGAUAUCAGGAGGAACACCCGUGGCGAAACGACCCUACUGGACCGAUACUGACGCUGAGACGCGAAAGCGUGGGGAGCAAACAGGAUUAGAUACCCUGGUAGUCCACGCCGUAAACGUUGGGCACUAGGUGUUGCGGGUUUGACCCCUGCAGUGCCGAAGCAAACGCAUUAAGUUGCCCGCCUGGGGAGUACGGGCGCAAGGCUAAAACUCAAAGGAAUUGACGGGGGGCCCACAAGCGGUGGAGCAUGUGGUUUAAUUCGAAGCAACGCGAAGAACCUUACCUGGGCUUGACAUCCCGGGAAGUCUCUGGAAACAGAGAUGUUGCUUCGGGAACCCGGAGACAGGUGCUGCAUGGCUGUCGUCAGCUCGUGUCGUGAGAUGUUGGGUUAAGUCCCGCAACGAGCGCAACCCUUGCCCUUAGUUGCUACCAUUUAGUUGAGCACUCUAAGGGGACUGCCGGUGUUAAACCGGAGGAAGGUGGGGAUGACGUCAAGUCCUCAUGGCCUUUAUGCCCAGGGCUACACACGUGCUACAAUGGACGGUACAAUGGGAAGCAAUCUCGCGAGGGGGAGCAAAUCCUAAAAGCCGUUCCCAGUUCGGAUUGGAGUCUGCAACUCGACUCCAUGAAGUCGGAAUCGCUAGUAAUCGUGGAUCAGCAUGCCACGGUGAAUACGUUCCCGGGCCUUGUACACACCGCCCGUCACACCACGAAAGUCGGUUGUACCAGAAGUCGUCGGGCUAACUUGGGAGGUAGGCGCCUAAGGUAUGGCCGGUGAUUGGGGUGAAGUCGUAACAAGGUAGCCGUGGGGGAACUGCGGCUGGAUCACCUCCUU